rnacentral:sRNA from 1 species
UACAGUAUUGACCGGGGUAGCCUCCCCUAC